rnacentral:rRNA from 1 species
UACGGAGGGUGCGAGCGUUAUCCGGAAUUACUGGGCUUAAAGGGUGCGUAGGCGGCUUUGUAAGUCAGGAGUGAAAGUUUGCGGCUCAACCGUAAAAUUGCUUUUGAUACUGCGAGGCUAGAAUUAGGAUGAGGUCAGCGGAAUGUGGCAUGUAGCGGUGAAAUGCAUAGAUAUGCCAUAGAACACCAAUUGCGAAGGCAGCUGGCUAGACCUGGAUUGACGCUGAGGCACGAAAGCGUGGGGAGCGAACAGG